ACGGAGGAUCCAAGCGUUAUCCGGAUUUAUUGGGUUUAAAGGGUGCGCAGGCGGAUCAAUAAGUGAGGGGUGAAAAAUUUCAGCUUAACUGGAAUAGUGCCUUUGAUACUGUCGGACUAGAGUAUAAUUGACGUAACUGGAAUGUGAUGUGUAGCGAUGAAAUGAUUAGAUAUAGCACAGGUCGCCGAACGUGAAGACAGCGCACGAAAUUAUUUCGUACGCUCAUCCACGAAAGCGUGGGGAUGAAAAGG
rnacentral:rRNA from 1 species